GUGAAACUGCGAAUGGCUCAUUAAAUCAGUUAUCGUUUAUUUGAUAGUACCUUACUACUUGGAUAACCGUGGUAAUUCUAGAGCUAAUACAUGCUAAAAAUCCCGACUUUUUGGAAGGGAUGUAUUUAUUAGAUAAAAGACCAAUGCUUCUUCGGAAGCUCUUUGGUGAUUCAUGAUAACUUUUCGAAUCGCAUGGCCUCGAGCCGGCGAUGGUUCAUUCAAAUUUCUGCCCUAUCAACUUUCGAUGGUAGGAUAGUGGCCUACCAUGGUUUCAACGGGUAACGGGGAAUUAGGGUUCGAUUCCGGAGAGGGAGCCUGAGAAACGGCUACCACAUCCAAGGAAGGCAGCAGGCACGCAAAUUACCCAAUCCCGACACGGGGAGGUAGUGACAAUAAAUAACAAUACAGGGCUUUUUAUGGUCUUGUGAUUGGAAUGAGUACAAUUUAAAUACCUUAACGAGGAACAAUUGGAGGGCAAGUCUGGUGAAAUGCUGACGCCAGAGAUAGUGGGGUCCUUGGCAGCCACUAGCUAAGGAUUAGGCCCGCUAGUCGAGUGUUCACUAAAUAAUGGGCGAGCACCGGCGAGGUAACCUGGAACGGGGAAGCCUAAGUUGCGUGAGCAAUAUGGUGAUCCCGUGGCGAGUCGCAAGACCGUCGUAACGCGCGGAAAGGUACCGGCUAGUUAACUAGCUCAAGGGACGUGCUAUUCCCACUCGAAAGAGUGUUUUCAACUGAAGCGCCCAUUAACGCAAAGGUUGAGAAGAGUCCAAGCUCGGUAGAGAAAGGCCAGCAGCCGCGGUAAUUCCAGCUCCAAUAGCGUAUAUUAAAGUUGUUGCAGUUAAAAAGCUCGUAGUUGAACCUUGGGCUUGGUCGGCCGGUCCGCCUCAUUGGUGUGCACUGACCCGACCGAGCCUUUCCUUCUGGAUAACUAUAGUGCUUUUUAUUAAGUGCUAUAGGGAGCCAGGACUUUUACUUUGAAAAAAUUAGAGUGUUCAAAGCAGGCAUACGCUCGAAUAUAUUAGCAUGGAAUAAUAGAAUAGGACGUACGGUUCUAUUUUGUUGGUUCUCUAGGACCGUCGUAAUGAUUAAUAGGGACAGUCGGGGGCAUCAGUAUUCAAUUGUCAGAGGUGAAAUUCUUGGAUUUAUUGAAGACUAACUACUGCGAAAGCAUUUGCCAAGGAUGUUUUCAUUAAUCAAGAACGAAAGUUAGGGGAUCGAAGACGAUUUGAAAUUACGUAUGCGAGGGCAUGCGGUUAUCUGGUCGUCAACAGUGACCUGAAAAGGAAGCUAGUCUUGAUCAAGAUCAAGGCGACAUCAUCAAAUUGCGGGAACACCCUAAAGAUCUCACUACCAAGCUGAUUUCGAAAGAGAUUGGUGGCCGAGUUAAUGACCCUGGGUACGGUAAUAACGUGAGAUAUGGAACAAUGGGCAAUCCGCAGCCAAGUCCUAAACUACAAACGUAGCAUGGAUGCAGUUCACAGACUAAAUGGUGGUGGGCCGUUGUGCGGCUUAAGAUAUAGUCGGGCCGCGUGCGAGAGUGCGCGGGUUAACGCAGAUACCGUCGUAGUCUUAACCAUAAACUAUGCCGACUAGGGAUCGGGCGGUGUUCUUUUUUUGACCCGCUCGGCACCUUACGAGAAAUCAAAGUCUU
rnacentral:rRNA from 1 species